GGGAAACUGCUGCUAAUACGGCAUAUGCCGAAAGGUGAAAAGAAAUUUGCCUUGAGAGCCGCUCGCGUCCGAUUAGCUAGUUGGGGAGGUAAGAGCUCACCAAGGCGACGAUCGGUAGCUGGUCUGAGAGGAUGAGCAGCCACACUGGGACUGAGACACGGCCCAGACUCCUACGGGAGGCAGCAGUGGGGAAUUUUCCGCAAUGGGCGAAAGCCUGACGGAGCAACGCCGCGUGGGGGAAGAAGGCCUUUGGGUUGUAAACCUCUUUUCUCAGGGAAGAAGAUCUGACGGUACCUGAGGAAUCAGCCUCGGCUAACUCCGUGCCAGCAGCCGCGGUAAUACGGAGGAGGCAAGCGUUAUCCGGAAUUAUUGGGCGUAAAGCGUUCGUAGGCGGCGCGUCAAGUCUGCUGUCAAAGUCCGAGGCUCAACUUCGGAAAGGCAGUGGAAACUGAACAGCUAGAGGUCGGAAGGGGCAGAGGGAAUUCCCAGUGUAGCGGUGAAAUGCGUA
rnacentral:rRNA from 1 species